rnacentral:tRNA from 5 species
UACAUCUUGGUGUAUGGUGCACAUUGGCCUUUGAUGCCUGUGGUGAUGGUUUAAUUCUGUUGGAUGUAA